rnacentral:rRNA from 1 species
CCUACGGGAGGCAGCAGUGAGGAAUAUUGGUCAAUGGACGAGAGUCUGAACCAGCCAAGCAGCGUGAAGGAUGACUGCCCUAUGGGUUGUAAACUUCUUUUAUAUGGGAAUAAAAUCUUCUACGUGUGGGUUUUUGUAUGUACCAUAUGAAUAAGGAUCGGCUAACUCCGUGCCAGCAGCCGCGGUAAUACGGAGGAUGCGAGCGUUAUCCGGAUUUAUUGGGUUUAAAGGGUGCGUAGGCGGGCUAGUAAGUCAGCGGUAAAAGCGCGGUGCUCAACUCCAUACAGCCGUUUAGACUGAUGAACUUGAGUGGGCGAGAGGUAGGCGGAAUGCGUGGUGUAGCGGUGAAAUGCAUAGAUAUCACACAGAACUCCGAUUGCGAAGGCAGCAUACCGGCGCCCGACUGACGCUGAGGCACGAAAGCGUGGGUAGCGAACAGGAUUAGAUACCCGGGUAGUC